UCCGUAGUAGAAAACCAGGUUAAUUUCAAUGAUGAAAUCCGGGUUCAACUCCCGGCUACGGAA
rfam:Vigna angularis cultivar Jingnong 6 scaffold124_90, whole genome shotgun sequence.